CCUCUCCCUAGCGACUAGCCGCCUUUGAAUUUCUUCAGCCCAGGAACCCAGUUUGUUAAUGCAAACAUUUCGUAACCAGAGAAGUAGAAACAACCAAUGCCAAGAGAGAAAAAUAAAGCAGACCAUAAGAGAUCAUGUAUGCAAGGAGGGAAAGGAGAACAAUUGCACUGAUUCAUAAUAGCUUUCCAGUUCCUGGUUCUAGUCCAUAAUGAGGUCAGCCACACAUCCUAUUCAUAGAUCCAUGAGAUAUGCAUCUCUUUCCAAUAAAUUCUCUUUCUGCCUUGGCCUAAUUUGGGUGUUUCUGUGUACUUAUAACUAUGUCACAAGACGAUAGCUGCAUUUCCAGACAUCAAGGCUAUGUUCCACACAGGAAAAGAGGGGAACCAAAAGAUACGUUUUUUUCUA